GACGAACGCUGGCGGCGUGCUUAACACAUGCAAGUCGAGCGGAAAGGCCACUUCGGUGGUACUCGAGCGGCGAACGGGUGAGUAACACGUGAGUAAUCUGCCCUUCACUCUGGGAUAGCCACCGGAAACGGUGAUUAAUACCGGAUACGACCAAUCCCUGCAUGGGGUGUUGGUGGAAACUUUUUUGGGUGGGGGAUGUGCUCGCGGCCUAUCAGCUUGUUGGUGGGGUAAUGGCCUACCAAGGCUUCGACGGGUAGCCGGCCUGAGAGGGUGACCGGCCCGACUGGGACUGCGGCACGGCCCAGACUCCUACGGGAGGCAGCAGUGGGGAAUAUUGGACAAUGGGCGGAAGCCUGAUCCAGCAACGCCGCGAGAGGGAUGACGGCCUUCGGGUUGUAAACCUCUUUCAGCACCGACGAAGCGCAAGUGACGGUAGGUGCAGAAGAAGGACCGGCAAACUACGUGCCAGCAGCCGCCGUAA
rnacentral:rRNA from 1 species